CAUUAUUAUAGCUUAACUCAUUGUUUCUCUCAUGUAAGUGCCUAACUUAUGCCACUUAAUCCUAAUUAUGUUUAUAUAUAUGAUUUGCCUGCCAUUUCUUUCUCUGAUCAUCAAUGAACCUGAUGCGAACUAAUCCACAUAAAACCCAAAUGAAUGGCUAUCCCCUAUUUCUUUCCUCUACUCUAUCAUCUCGUUUCUUCCUUAAACCUAUAAGCAACUUCUUUCGACAAUUCUUGGUUCACACUUUCUUUUGCAUAAGAAUAUGUCAAGACCAUUAAUCAAUUCCUAGCAUCUACUUCUCCUAUAUUUCAUUAGGGUUAUGGCACGUGAUUCUUCAUAUUUAGCGGUCGCAUAGUCAAAACGGACUCUGUUGUGAGAGAUAUUGCAUGAGUACUACAGCUGCAAAUUUUAGGCUUAGGGUUUUGUGCUUGGAAGGAAAGCGGCUAAGGUACCAAAGAAAAAUGAAGUUGAUGUGUUGCUUGUACAUGCGUGGGGAUAAAUCGAAGGGUUUUUAUUAGAGUAUAAUUGUAAAUUUAAAUAAGGCUUCUUAACAAUUAUAUAGCUACUUUAUUGUAAAUUUAACAUAUUUUGAAAUUGACAACUUGUAGUAUUCUGGACUUAAUAAGUCUUUUUAAAUUUUUACAAUAAUUAGAUAGCUAUAUAUCUUGA